UUUAAAUGGCCGCAGUAUACUAACUGUGCAAAGGUAGCAUAAUCAUUAGUCUUUUAAUUGAAGGCUGGUAUGAAUGGUUGGACGAGAUAUUAACUGUUUCAUAAAAAUUUAUAUUAGAAUUUUAUUUUUUAGUCAAAAAGCUAAAAUGUAUUUAAAAGACGAGAAGACCCUAUAAAUCUUUAUAUUUAAAUUAUUAUAAUUGUAUAGACUAUUUUUGUUAUAAUAAUUAAUAAUAUUUUAUUGGGGUGAUAUUAAAAUUUAAUAAACUUUUAAUUGUUUAAAUCAUUAAUUUAUGAAUAAUUGAUCCGUUAAUAACGAUUAAAAAAACAAGUUACUUUAGGGAUAACAGCGUAAUUUUUUUGGAGAGUUCAUAUCGAUAAAAAAGAUUGCGACCUCGAUGUUGGAUUAAGAUAUAAUUUUAGGUGUAGCCGCUUAAAUUUUAAGUCUGUUCGACUUUUAAUUUCU
rnacentral:rRNA from 1 species